UAGACAGAUUAUUGCAUUCGACUGUAUUCACGAUCUAUUCAGUUGUUUUUAAACGAAAAGUGAAUUAAUUAACAUAAUAGACUCCU
rfam:Nicotiana attenuata strain TT chromosome 7, whole genome shotgun sequence.